rnacentral:rRNA from 1 species
AGCAGCCGCGGUAAUUCCAGCUCCAAUAGCGUAUAUUAAAGUUGUUGCAGUUAAAAAGCUCGUAGUUGAAUUUCGGGGUUAGUAGGUCGGUCAUGCCUCAGGUAUGUACUGGUCUCACUGAUUCCUCCUUCCUGAUGAGCCGUAAUGCCAUUAAUUUGGUGUUGCGGGGAAUCUGGACUGUUACUUUGAAAAAAUUAGAGUGUUUAAAGCAGGCUAACGCUUGAAUACAUUAGCAUGGAAUAAUGGAAUAGGACGUUCGAUCCUAUUUUGUUGGUUUCUAGGAUUGACGUAAUGAUUAAUAGGGAUAGUUGGGGGCAUUAGUAUUCAAUUGUCAGAGGUGAAAUUCUUGGAUUUAUUGAAGACUAACUACUGCGAAAGCAUUUGCCAAGGAUGUUUUCAUUAAUCAAGAACGAAAGUUAGGGGAUCGAAGACGAUCAGAUACCGUCGUAGUCUUAACCAUAAACUAUGCCGACUAGGGAUCGGAUGAUGUUAAUUUUUUAAUGA